rnacentral:rRNA from 1 species
UACGUAGGGUGCGAGCGUUAAUCGGAAUUACUGGGCGUAAAGCGUGCGCAGGCGGUUUCGUUGUGUCGGCGUGAAAGCCCGGGCUUAACCUGGGAAUGGCCGUUGAAACUGGCGAACUGGAGUGUGGCAGAGGGGGUGGAAUUCGGCGUGAGCAGUGAAAUGCGUAGAGAAUGCGGAGGAACACCGAUGGCGAAGGCGGCGACCUGGCUCCGGAUACUGACGCUGAGGCGCGAAAGCGUGGGGAGCAAACAGG